rnacentral:lncRNA from 7 species
ACGGGGCCUGGCCUGCAGCCCGGCCCAGUUCUGCCUGUUCCUCUUUCCUUAGCGCCUCGCUCCUCUUGCACGAGUUUUUGCAUGGGAAGAGAAUAAGGUUUGCUCUUCUGCUCCAGGCUUGGCUUGUGCUGCACCUCGAGGAGGCCUCAUUGAGACCUGCUGCAGCCUCUGUGCCCAAACACCCCCUCUUUUGGGGGGAGGCUGAUCCGGCCCAGCCGCAUGAUCGCAGUCAGGUGACGACGCCGAGCACAAAAGCAGCGCGGGAUAAGCAGCUCAGCGUGGCAGAUCAGCUGCUGCCCCGGCCCCUCUGCGAGCUGCUACUGCUCGGGGAAAAUGAGCACCUGGCCCCCUCCUCUGCUCUGGAGCCUCACCACGGUGUGUCUGACAGGUAUUGCUUUAGGCCAGACAACCACCACUCAGGCCCCUGUUGCAUCAACCUCGCUACUUCUGAGUGCUGCUACCACCCAAGUCCCUGUUGCACCAACCCAAAUGUCUUCUGUUGCCACCGCGACCUCAGCCCCCCCAUCCCCAUCUUCUGCUGGGAUGCUCUCAGUUGGAACAGUGACAAACCUCACCAGCCCUACAGUUGUGCCAUCUGCUGUCUCAAGCACAAACUCUCCCUCUCCAACUCUGCCCACCACCCCACGCAUCACUGCACUCACCUCUGGGAUUGCAACCACCCCUCAUGCACCCACAGCACCAAUGGCCACAUCCAGCAGUCCCUGGGCCACCCCUCCAGAUGUAACUGCAUCUCCUGGGGUCCCAUCAGUGGUCCCGUUUCUCAGCACCAUUGAGCCCUCAAACUGCAGCAGAGUGAAUGUGACAACAUGUGCUCCUUGCUCCCCAGGGACCAUUCCCAGCAAUGACACCUGGAGCUGCUUGUGCUGCAUGGAGGGCUCAUGUGUGGACCCUGGUGCCUGUGCUCCUUGCCCUGUGGGACACUACCAGCCUGAGGGGGGACAGCAGCAGUGCCUGCCGUGUCCAAAGGGACGUUACGCCAACACUACGAGGAGCACCGUGUGCUCACCCUGCCUGCCUGGCCACUAUGCCAACGAGUCGGGGGCCGCAGCCUGCAGCGCGUGCCAGAAAGGUUAUUUUAGCUCACAGCAAAAUGCAGCUUCUUGUCUGCCUUGCCUGCCUGGAUCGUUCUGCAACACCACCAGCUGCACGCUGUGUCUGGCCUGUCCUGCUGGGCGUGAGGCUCCACGGGAGGCUGCUGAGGAGUGUACACUGUGCCGGGCAGGUACGUUCAAAGGUCUGGGUGAUGACACCUGCAAGCCCUGCGAGCCAGGGGAAUACCAACUGCAGCAGGGCCAGGAGAGCUGUGACCUGUGUCCAGAGAACCACUACUGCCCUAGCCCAGAUGUGAACCCAAUCAAGUGCCCUCCUGAUGCCUUCUGCCCUGUGGGCAGCACUGAGCCCCAGUACUGCAUGGAGAUCUUCCUGUACAAGGUGGGCAGCUCCUGCCAGCUGACGCCACUGGUGAUCGUCCUCCUGGCCCUCUUCUCAGCAGGCGCAAUUCUUAUAAUCUUUGUACUAAUUCUGAGAAGAAGGCAAGAACACAGCACAAAGUCUUUGAAGUCCCUGCUGCUACCACAAGGAUCAGAGCAGCACACAACGUAUGGAGUGAUGGAGCACACAGAGCCGGUGUAUGCUGGCUGGUAGAGGGGGAAAGGCAACCUGCAAGCACUGUGUUCCCUUUUCUGUAGGGUAAUGCACGCGUGUGUAUAUGUGAAAGAAGUUUGACCGUCACCAACCUAUUUCCGUAUUGCUAAAAUAAGCACAGAGAAAUGAAAUGCAAGUCAUUUUUCAGCUGUGCCUUUCUGUGCUGACCAACCUGGCUGGAUGAUGCUGUUCUACAUCAAAUGGAUUUACAGCAGAAGCUUCCCCCUCUAAUUCCUAGCUCCACUCGCAAUAAAUACUUCUUUUUUUCCUUUCCUUAAGAAAUUUCAGCAGUCAGCUCAACUGCUGGAACAAAGAACAGCUGCUGCAGAUACUGGACUUCCCACAGCACAAUUGCUUCUACCCGAGCAGGAACUAACACAAAUAUUCCUCCUUUAAGGAAGAUGCACGUUUACUUAUUUAUUUGCCCUUCUCAAAACUUUACCUAUACUUGAAACUGAGGGUCAGCUGAAAAAAGGAAUCCCACACUUUUCCCUUCCUCUCAGCUGUGGGAAAACACGUGCAGCUGAACUUAUGGUUGACUCCUGGACAAAUGUGUCCCUUCUGUUUCCUGCUGUGGUGCUGCGGUCUCUCAUGCAGUUCUUCAUAUUACUCCACAGAGCUACAGAAGCAACACCCUCCUCCUCCUUCUCCAGUGCAAUUCAUUCGCAUACCAUGCAGGCUGCAAAGCCCUGCUCAGAUCAUCCAGCUGUGACACUUCCACAGCGCUGUGCUUCAUCAGCUCUGAGAGCCCUGGUAAAAAUAGUACUUAAUAUUGUGAGAGCUGUGCUUUCAAGUGAGUGUGCACGGAGGUGGAAGCAGGUGUUACUUCUCACUGGAGCCCUUUCCCUGAGCUAAAGCAGCAGCAGCCAGCUGAAGGAACCCAGCUGGUGGGGGUUAAGUGGCUGCUGCCCUCCACUGCUCAUUCUUCUCAUCCCUGGGGAGGUUAUUGUGCUUUUCAAGAAAAAGGAAAUAAACAACCG